CCGUGCGCCGCUCUGUAUCCUAGGAGGACGGGAGCCAUUCAAAACCCGCGUAACGGGCAAGACAGGAAAGAAGAGGGAGGAGGGCCGGGCGCAGAGAAGACGGUCGCCAGAAUGAAAAAAGGUGUCCAAGCGCUCACGGAAGGAGGAGGAAGAUCUUGAAGCUCUCAUAGCCCACUUCCAGACGCUGGAUGCCAAAAAGACUCAGGUUGUGGAAACGCCCUGCUCCGCACCUUCACCGAGAUUGAGUUCUCCAAGAUGCAUGUAGUUUCCGUAGCAUUUGCAGUGCCUGUCCAACCUUCUGGGAGAUUUCCGAACUGAAUGAUGGUCUGUUUUGUGCUGAGUGCUGUAAGGAAACCUAUGAAUCCACUAGGAAACCUGGAGUUUCAUCCACCCAGAUGGUUUGAUCGACCUGUUUAUAGAUCUCAGAUGAUUCCUAAUUUCAUACCAUUGUGAUCCAAAAAAAAUGACUGAUACGAUUUUAAUGGUCUUAAAUAUGUUAAGACAUUUUGUGUCCUAACAUGUGGGCUGUCUUUGAGAAUGUUUCAUGUGCACUUGAGAAGAAUAUAUGUUCUGCUAUUUUGGGAUGAAAUGUUCUGAUCUUCAGCCUUCCCAAAACACCGGAGAGCGUGGGAAAGCCUCGGAGCCCCAGCUGGGUUCCUGUGUCCAAAGUGGAAGUAACCUCCAGGAUUGGGGACCCCUGGGUCUCUCUCUUCACGGCAGACCCACGGUCGCUGCACGGCAGAGGCCAGGGUGGUGUGCAAACUCUCGGGGCCGCCGCACGCCUGCCGAGUCAGAAUCUGCCUUUGAAUAAAAUCUGGAGACGUGCCCUCUCUGCCCCCACUUCACAGGGCGUUAGCCUGGCCUGCCAUUCACGUUGGCUGGACAGCCGAAGCAGCAUUUCCAAGGUAUCACCUGGGCACCCCAAGCUUUACAAAGUUUCACAGUCUCACUCUUAACCCUCUGGAGCCCGCCCACCACUGCCCAGCUCACUGUUGUUUCGACCAAUGCUACUGUGGGGCAGGAUGUCCUUCUCCUCGUCCACAAUCGGCCAGAGUUCCUUGCAGGUUAUGUCUGGUUCAAAGGGGAGAGCACGGACAGCAACCAUCAUAUUGCAUCAUAUGUAAUAGAGACUCAAGAAAUACACCCAGGCCCUGCAUACAGUGGCCGACAGACAAUAUACCCCAAUGGAUCCCUGCUGUUCCAGAAUGUCACCUUGGAGGACACAGAAUACUACACUCUACUAGCCAUAAAGAGAAAUUUUCAAGGUGACAGAGCAACUGGACAGCUCCACGUAUACUAGCCCGUGGGGAAGCCCUCCAUCCGAGCCAGCGACACCGCCGUCACAGAGCAUAGGGACACUGUGGUCCUGUCCUGUCUCACAGAUGACACUGGGGUUUUCAUCUGGUGGUAACCAGAGUCUAUGGCCUACGGAGAGGAUGGCGCCGUCCCGGGGCAGCAGCACCUCACCAUGGACCCUGUCGGGAGGGAGGACGCUGGUUACAUCGGUGUGAGGCCUCCGACCCGCCAGCUCCAGCAAAAACGACCCCUCAGGCUGGAUGUGAACUAUGAGCAUCCCUUGUCCCCUCCUCUGUGUUGUUAAACUCUGAAUAAAUUUUUUCUUCCCUGAAAAUGAUGGUUAUGAUGAGGUUUCUAAAUAGUUUUCCUG